AACAUGUGAACUAACUAGCAGCAGUCAAUCACUGUUGUGCACCUGUCCAUCUAUUUGCAUGAUACUCUCUUUAGAGGCAUGCUAUGUAGGCGGGCCGGAGAACAAAUGGGCGCAGCUCAGUGCCAAGGAAAAUAUACACAUCAUGAGCGUUGGCGGCAAAUGUCCUAAAAKCAUAAAUGUUUUUGGGGGUUGCGGCUUGCUCCAUAAGAGUUGUAGGACUCUCGGCAAUGGAUAUCUUGGCUCCCGCAUCGAUGAAGAGCGCAGCGAAAUGCGAUACGUGGUGCGAAUUGCAGAAUCCCGUGAACCAUCGAGUUUUUGAACGCAAGUUGCGCCUGAGGCCAACUGGCUAAGGGCACGUCCGCCUGGGCGUCAAACAUUGCAUCGCUCCACYCGACACCCACCAUGAUUAUAAUGUGAYGGKUGUUGGCGCGGAUGCGGAGAAUGGCCCGUCGUGCGUUAUUGCGCGGCGGGUUUAAGAGUGGGAUGAUUUUCUCUUGUUGAUGAUCGAUAAAUGGGUGGGAUGGAAGCGCCAUUUGAUCCUAAUCAUCGUAUGGUUGCCUUGAGAAAGCAUACAUAUCCCCGCCUAACCCAACUCAAGUGUUGUCGAAAGCAAAAAUUGAAAUGCGACCCCAGGAUGGGCGGGGUGACCCGCUGAGUUAAGCAUAUCAAUAA
rnacentral:rRNA from 1 species